rnacentral:tRNA from 1 species
GGAGGGAUGGCAGAGUGGUCGAUUGCGGCAGUCUUGAAAACUGUUGUACCGAGAGGUACCGGGGGUUCGAAUCCCUCUCCCUCCG